UUGAUUAUCUUUUUUGAUGGACAGAAGUUUAUCUUGAGGAAGUCGUAUUUAUUUUUGGCCUGUGCUUUUGAUGUCAUAUCUAAGAGUUUUGUGGUGUUAACUCUUAUGUUUUAGAUUGUUGAUCCACUUUAAAUUGAUGUGUGUAUUAUGGUGUGAGGUGGGGGCUCCAGCUUCGUUCUUUUAUAUGUGGAUAUCUGUUAAUCCCAGUACCACUUGAAGACGCUUUUUUUCUCCGUUGGAAUCAUUUGAUAGCCUUUAUUGGAAAUCAUUUGGCCAUUGAUGUGUGAGCCUAUUUCUAGACUCUGAAUUUUGAUCCAUUUGUGUGUGUGUGUGUGUGUGGGGGGGGGGGGUCCCUAAUUCAGUACCACAGUUNCAGUUUUUAUUGAGUUUUAUAAUAAGCUUUGUAAUAACUUUUGAAAUCUGGAAUUAUGAGUCCUCCAAUUUUGGUCUUCUUUUAACCCUUUGGCUGUUAGGGUACAUUGACUUUCCAUAUGAAUUGUAGAAUUGACUUCCAUUCUGGAAAAAUAGCUUUUGGAAUUUCGUUAAGAAUUGCAUCAAUCUGUAAGUCACUUUAUUGCAGUAUUGCCAUUCUUAAUAUUGUCUUUCAGUUUAUAAACACAUGACGUCUUUUUGUUUAUUUUCUUUAUUUUAGAAACGUUUUCUAGUCUUCAGUGUAUGGUCUUUCACCUCCUUGGUUAAAUUUAUUCUUAGGUAUUUUAUUCUUUUGGGGUUUGUAACUGGAAUUGCUUUCUUAAUUGUUAGAUUAUCUAUAAAUAGAAAUUGUUCUACUACUUCCUUUCCAUUUUGGAGGCUUUAAUUUUUUCUUGCCUGAUCUGAAGGGUGUUGAAUUUUGUCAGAUGCUUUUCUGUAUUGAGAUGAUCAUGUGUAUAUUUCCUUCAUUCUGUUAAUGUGAUGUAUUAAUAAUGUUGAGCCAUUCUUGCACUGUGGAGUAGACACACACAUCAUUUCACAUAAUAAUCCUUUAAACCUGCUGCUGAAUUCAGCUUUCUAGAAUUAUGUUGAGUAUUUUUGCAUCACUGCGUUCAUGGACACAUUAUCUGGAUACUAAUGCACCAUUUUUGGUGACAUCAUUACUGGGUUGAUCCUUUGAAGACAUGAAAACAGGUUCAGAGUGAUUAGUGACUUGGCCAAUGACCAGAAUUAGGAGCUGAAAGGGAAUCACAGGAGUCACUCGCAACUUAGCCUAAUGUUCUUCCAGGCAGGGGACCCAAAACCCUGAGUUUGGCUUAAUUUACUCCUGCAAUUGGAAUUGUUUACAUGAAUUGCAUUUCUUUCAGACAUGGGCCUAAGAGAACAAAAACAGACUGAAAGACAGUGAUUUGCUGGGAGUGAAACCGCCUGUGUCGGUAGUGCCCUAAAGCGGGCUCGUGCGGCACUUGUCUGUCCUCCUGCUUGCUCCAAGUUGGGGGCCGAGAGGUGGGUUUAUUUUUAAAAUGUCUCUGUGUGUAUGUGUUUGGCAAAGUACAACUCCCUUUAAAACACUCUGGGUUUCCUGUAAAACCUUCUAGAGUUCUCUGAAUGUCCUUUAAAGGCUAAAUGGUAAUUGACACGGGCCUCUCUCUAAUGGCAGCAUACUUUCUGGGAAGACUCUUUUUGCUGAGAAUUUUCUACGUGCUGACCUCCCCUGCAGCCUUAAAGGGCUCUAGCAGUCGCAGUCUUGAUCUGGUCAGUUUUUCCUCUGGGAAUCUUCAGCUUGCUGCAGAGGACCCACCCUUACAAGUCCCAAGUCUCCUCUGUUUUUGCUGAACUCUUCUUGGAAACUGAAGAGUUUCUUCUCUGUGUCUUGUCUCUUCCCAUGCCUCAUACUCAGCUAAAUCAGCCAACACUUUGAACAUUUCUUGGAAACUUUUUUAGCCAAAAGUACAUGUUACAGUUUCGCUACUAAAAGACCUAAGGCACCACCUUUGCAGCUUCCACUAGCAGUUGACUUUCCCAGCCCUCACGGACAGCUAGUUCCCUGUUCCCAGCUUUCCAAGCAGUGCAAAAUAUCCUGGGGUUUUGUUAGGUCAGCACCUCAUUCUGGGUACCAGUUUCUGUGUCAAGUAUGCUGUAACUGCUCAUACCAAAAGCAGUGGCUUAGAAUAACAUUUAUUUACUUGGUGCGUCUGCAGUCACCUGUUGACUCUCCUCAGGCUGGAUGCUCCCUGACAUGGCUCAGGUGGCUGGCGCUGCAUCAGGGUCAUCAGGGACGCCGCAGCUCCUCCUGUGUCCUGUCUGAGCCCCCUGGGUUUUCACACAGGUAGCAGUAUUCCUAGGAGGGGGCAGCAAAGUCAGAAGCCAGGAGGUCAGAGUGGGCUACUUGUGCUGCAGGCUUCUGGUCACUGAGCCAACUCAGAUUCAAAGUGUAGGAGCAGCUGCAAGUAUACAUACAUAUGUACAUACGUACAUGUGUGUAUCUUUUUUAAACCACCACACCUAUUUUUGAGGUUAGGGCUGAAAUAGCUAUUUGCUGUUUGGCCUUUAAUAUUAAGGUAUAAAUGUCCUUAAGGAUUAAAAAAAAAGAAGUGUGUGAUUUAGUGAUGCCUCGAGCCACAAAACAAUAUUGUUUAAAAUCUCAUUUUCAUAAAUUUAUCCUUUUACCCACACUUACUAGUAAUAACUGGGAAGCGGUUUUAAGUGUUAUUAAUUUCCAUUCAUUGAUAGCUUUUAUAUUAGUCAUACUCUUAGACUAUAAACAAGCCAUCUUUGGCCAAUUUACAAAAAUACUUUGUAUCAUUUAUCAUCUUUAUGAGUAAGAUGAGAAGUCAGACAAUUCCUAACAUAGUGGUAAUGAGACUGUAUUGUCAGCUCUAAGCUAUUUGCUUUACAUUCUUCUUCAGUGUCUCAGACGCCAUUUAGGUUGAGCUCCACCUAUUUCUUCCUCACCUUAAAACAGAUAGAUAAGGCUUGGUAGUGACGUCACUUCCAGUGUUAGCGGAAACAAGCCUCAGUGUAAAAACACACAGUUCACCCUUAUCCCCUCUACUAGUGAAAGCACCACCACCAGCAUGUGUGUGUGUCCUGCCUCAUUCCAGUCGGGUCAUUAAACCACUUUCCCCUCCGAGCAGGGACCCUCCAUCCUCACUAAACUAUGGCUAGAGUGUAGUGGCAGUUCAGGGAAUUCCAAUACCCUCAGUGACUUUGACAAACGUGUGUUGCUUCAGAAGGAUCCCUCCAGUUUGCGGACCUAAUGGCACAGGUGCUUCUGACAGUCCAGUUCCAAACUGAGGCUGUAAUACUUCUCUCAGGCUGAUUCAGACGUGCCACCAAUGAAUUCUUCCACUGGCCACGGUAGUAAUAUUACUCAGUGAAGGUUAAUGUAGGUGUCACUUGAAAUCUCUUUGGAAUUCGUUCAGCCAGUGAGGUCUGCUUAACCAGCUCAGGCUUCUAACAUGAACUUAGUUUCUUCAAGAAUGAGUUCUUAAACUUAACUCCUGCCGGAGUGCAGAGCCUGAUUUUACAAGUGUAGACGGUGCUUGAAUUCUAGGCAAUUUCUGUCAUAAUCUUGUACUCGAAGCUUAGCUCUUCAUCCACCCUGCUUGAGGAGUAGGAUUUUUGGAGGUGUCACGGUGUACACAGGUACUAUCUUUAAGUGGGGUCUACAUGGUAAAAUAAAAACAUACAUACUUUCCCCUCUGUUUCCAUGCCACCAUAUACUUAACUAGAUCCUUUUAAAAAGUACCGUAUUUUCAUGAAUAUUUCUCAGAUUUAGCCUGUAGCAUUGAAGAAUACAAUGGAGCAUGAACAAGCAACUUGUUCAGCUGUGACAGUGGCCAUUUACCCUCUGGAAAUCUUACCAGAGGGCUCUUCUCAGUACCAAUUAGCACCAGCAGCAAUUGUGCAUAAUUUUAAAUAUUUCAAGAUGCCUUACAAAUAAUAGUAUCAUUACAUAAUAAGUAAGCAUGUUCAGAAAUUCCACUCUAUGCAAGAAUUUCUCAUCACUCUGAUCUGGGAACUUCCACGGGGGUCUGGAGUGCCAGGCAGAAGCCACUUUCCAGCUUCUGUGCCCGACACUUCACAAAGCAUUUCUACAUCAGCCAGUGGUAACAUGAACAAGUGUUCACUCCUCACACCACAGGAGAAGCUUUUCAAACCAUGAAGGUUUGAUUUCUUGAAAAACUAACUGGCCAUUUACAGAUAUCAAUAACCAUGGCAUUCUCAGCUGGGAUCGUUGAAGCCUCACACCAUGAACUAACAGAUAGUUCUUAGUUGAAAACAUUGAGAGAUGGAUAGAGGCUGGUGGAUAUAACUGGAAUGUCAAAACAUUUCUCCACUUUCAAAGCAUAAAUGCCAUCUUACUACUUGAAUUACUUAUCACUCUCCUUUUACAAGUUUGCCCGUGCUGCUCUAUCUUCUAAACUGUUUCCAGCCUUCUAAAUGCACAAACUGUUUACUUUAAAAAAAAAAAGUGAGUUCCCAUCGUGACUCGGUGGAAACAAGCCUGACUAGCAUCCAUGAGGAUGAGGGUUUGAUCCUGGCCCCACUCAGUGGGUUAAGGAUCCAGCUUUGCCGUGAGCUCUGGUAUAGGUCGCAGAGGCGGCCUGGAUCUGGCGUUGCUGUGGCUGUGGCGUAGACCAGCAGCUGUAGUUCUGACUCGACCCCUACCCUGGGAACCUCCAUAUGCCA
rnacentral:lncRNA from 1 species